CCUACGGGUGGCUGCAGUGAGGAAUAUUGGUCAAUGGGCGGAAGCCUGAACCAGCCAAGUAGCGUGCAGGAUGACGGCCCUAUGGGUUGUAAACUGCUUUUAUGCGGGGAUAACCGGGGCCACGCGUGGCCCCCUGCAGGUACCGCAUGAAUAAGGACCGGCUAAUUCCGUGCCAGCAGCCGCGGUAAUACGGAAGGUCCGGGCGUUAUCCGGAUUCAUUGGGUUUAAAGGGAGCGUAGGCCGUGGAUUAAGCGUGUUGUGAAAUGUAGGCGCUCAACGUCUGACUUGCAGCGCGAACUGGUCCACUUGAGUGUGCGCGACGCAGGCGGAAUUCGUGGUGUAGCGGUGAAAUGCUUAGAUAUCACGAGGAACCCCGAUUGCGAAGGCAGCUUGCGGGAGCACCACUGACGCUGAGGCUCGAAGGUGCGGGUAUCGAACAG
rnacentral:rRNA from 1 species